UACGUAGGUGGCAAGCGUUGUCCGGAUUUACUGGGCGUAAAGAGCGCGCAGGCGGUCGUGCAAGUCGCGUGUGAAAGCCCCCGGCUCAACUGGGGAGGGUCACGCGAUACUGCUCGACUUGAAGGCAGGAGAGGGAAGUGGAAUUCCCGGUGUAGUGGUGAAAUGCGUAGAUAUCGGGAGGAACACCAGUGGCGAAGGCGGCAUCCUGGACCGGCAUUGACGCUGAGGAGCGAAAGCCAGGGGAGCAAACGGG
rnacentral:rRNA from 1 species